rnacentral:rRNA from 1 species
CAGUCGCCACGGUAAUACGAAGGGUGCAAGCGUUAAUCGGAAUUACUGGGCGUAAAGCGUGCGUAGGCGGUUUGUUAAGUCUGCUGUGAAAUCCCCGGGCUCAACCUGGGAAUGGCAGUGGAUACUGGCAAGCUAGAGUGUGUCAGAGGAUGGUGGAAUUCCCGGUGUAGCGGUGAAAUGCGUAGAGAUCGGGAGGAACAUCAGUGGCGAAGGCGGCCAUCUGGGACAACACUGACGCUGAGGCACGAAAGCGUGGGGAGCAAACAGGAUUAGAUACCCCAGUAGUCCCUGUCUCUUAUAA